ACGGCGAGUGAAGCGGCAACAGCUCAAAUUUGAAAUCUGGCCUCGGCCCGAGUUGUAAUUUGCAGAGGAUGCUUCUGGCGCGGUGCCUUCCGAGUUCCCUGGAACGGGACGCCACAGAGGGUGAGAGCCCCGUAUGGUCGGACACCAAGCCUGUGUGAAGCUCCUUCGACGAGUCGAGUAGUUUGGGAAUGCUGCUCUAAAUGGGAGGUAAAUCUCUUCUAAAGCUAAAUACCGGCCAGAGACCGAUAGCGCACAAGUAGAGUGAUCGAAAGAUGAAAAGCACCUUGAAAAGGGGGUUAAAUAGUACGUGAAAUUGUUGAAAGGGAAGCACUUAUGACCAGACUUGGGCCGGGCGGCUCAUCAGGGGUUCUCCCCUGUGCACUCCGCCCGGCACAGGCCAGCAUCGGUUCUCGUGGGGGGAUAAGACCGUCAGGAACGUAGCACCCUCCGGGGUGUGUUAUAGCCUGGCGGACGAUACCCCCGUGGGGACCGAGGUCCGCGCUCCGCAAGGAUGCUGGCGUAAUGGUCAUCAGUGACCCGUCUUGAAACACGGACCAAGGAGUCGUCCAUUAGAGCGAGCGUUUGGGUGUAAAACCCGCACGCGUAAUGAAAGUGAACGCAGGUGAGAGCUUCGGCGCAUCAUCGACCGAUCCUGAUGUUCUCGGAAGGAUUUGAGUAAGAGUUUUAACGGACGGACCCGAAAGACAGUGAACUAUGCUUGUAUAGGGUGAAGCCAGAGGAAACUCUGGUGGAGGCUCGCAGCGGUU
rnacentral:rRNA from 1 species